GUUAAAUUAACCCAUUGGUCUGUACGGGGCAACUGAUUCUGUUCGUUCAUCUUAGUAGGAAACUCACCAUCGACGGAAGGCUUAGCGCUAAAUUCGAAGGCCAUGGAAAUUUUGAUCUACAGUAGUUGAAACCUGCCGUUUCAGGGCAAUUCAUUUGAAUUAUUUGAAUUAGAGUCUAAGGCCUUCAAGCUUCGAAUCACCUCACAUGGAUCGGAAAAAUCCUCAAUCAGAAGUGUUCUUGGAGGAAUGGAAUGGUUCUUCAUUAUCGGAGCUUCGGAAGACUGCCACCAUAACUGUUUCUCCUUCCCUGUCCAUCCAAAGAUCUGGUUCUCGUUUCAAAAUCGUGGGGAGACGAUUCUUUGACGCGUUUGUACCGGAGGGGUUUCCUAGUAGUGUGACCCCCGAUUAUGUUCCUUUUCAAAUAUGGGACUCAUUGCAGGGUCUAUCGACAUACAUUAGGACCAUGCUCUCUACCCAAGCUCUCCUGAGCGCCAUUGGGGUCGGAGAGCAAUCAGCAACUGUCAUUGGUGCAACAUUUCAGUGGUUUUUGAGGGAUUUAACUGGAAUGAUUGGAGGUAUCUUAUUCACAUUUUACCAGGGAUCAAAUCUGGACAGCAAUGCCAAAAUGUGGCGCUUGGUUGCAGAUUUCAUGAAUGAUCUUGGUAUGUUGAUGGACCUUGUUUCCCCCUUGUUUCCUUCAGCAUUUAUGCUCAUUGUUUGCUUGGGGAGCCUGUCAAGAUCAUUCACCGGUGUGGCAAGUGGAGCUACUAGAGCUGCUUUAACACAACAUUUUGCCCUUCAGAAUAAUGCUGCUGAUAUAUCUGCCAAGGAAGGAAGUCAAGAAACAGUAGCAACAAUGGUAGGCAUGGCGAUUGGUAUGCUUCUUGCUCGUAUUACCAUGGGAUGCCCACUGGCCAUCUGGCUUUCUUUUCUAUCUCUCACGUUGUUCCAUAUGUACGCAAAUUACAAGGCUGUUUGCUGCCUUUCCUUGACUUCACUCAACCCUCAGAGGUGUUCAAUUGCUUUGCAGCAUUUUAUUCAGACAGGCCAAGUUCUCUCUCCUCAACAGGUUUCUAAGAUGGAGCAUGUUUUACCCACAUGGGUUUCUUCAUGGAGUUUAAGGAGUAUUAAGUUAAUCCAUACACGUGUAAGAUUAGGAGAGAGGAUCUCUUCACUUCAUCACUCAGAAAUGAAGGAGCUGUUGCAAUUGGCAGGUGCCAAUAGUAACAAAGUGAAGUACCUUCUAAUGGAGAGGAAGUCCAUUAUCUGUGUUAUUGUGCGAAAAGAUGCAACUGCUAAUGACAUCUUCCAAUCAUUCUUUCAUGCACUUGUUACGGCUUAUGUUCCUGAUCAGGCGUCUAGGCAUUUGGAAAGCCUGUCGUGGAUGGACAAACAUUAUGAAGAUUUUAUUCAAAAGCUGAAGCUAUCGGGUUGGAAGACAGAUCGUCUACUUUCUCCGUCAGUUUGUUGGAGAGCCAACUGGGUCUGCAGUCCCAGAGAUGAGAAAAUUGACUAAACCUCAGUGGUCACUAACCAUAAAAGAGCAGCACAAGGAGGUACCCACUAAUAUAAACUGUUUCAAAUUCAGCCACACUCUGUGGCAUAUUCACAAUAUUGGUUGAUACUCCCUGCUUGUGAAUGGUGCAAAUCUGAAAAGUAUUGUCAAUAUGCUGUUUAUGGCCUUGAUAGUUUUUAAACAGCACCAUGCAAAUCUGCUUGUGACCUUAUAGCUUUUAAUGAACCAUAUAAACCGCACGUUUAUGAUGAACCUUAUAAACAGCACUCAUUUGAUUAUGCUUUCUGAUAUUCUGCCACUGGAUUCAUUCUGACCUUAUAGUUUUUAAUCAACCUUAUGAACAACACUAAUUUGAUUAUGAUAUUUUGCCACUGGAUUCAUUCUGACCUUAUAGUUUAUAAUGAACCUUAUGAACCGCACUCAUUUGAUUAUGCUUUCUGAUAUUCUGCCACUGGAUUCAUUUGACCUUAUAGUCUUUAAUCAACCCUAUGAACUACACUCAUUUGAUUAUGAUAUUCUGCCACUGGAUUCAUUCUGACCUUAUAGUGUAUAGUGAACCUUAUGAACAACACUCAUUUGAUUAUGCUUUCUGAUAUUCUGCCACCGGUUGUUUCUUUUUUAUAAAACUUGGCUGCAAACUUUUGA